CCUUCGUCUGUAAUUAUCAAUAGCUGACACGGUCUAGACAGGAGAACGUAUCAGGUUGGAAGUCCUGAGACAGGAACGGCCGCACUAUCUACACAGAUUAUUGUGCUGGAGCCCUGACGGAGGUGCGCGCACACGGAUUAUUGUGGCGAGGCCCUGACGGAGGUGCGCACACACAGAUUAUUGUGGCGAGGCCCUGACGGAGGUGCGCACACACAGAUUAUUGUGGCGAGGCCCUGACGGAGGUGCGCGCACAGAGAUUAUUGUGGUGAGGCCCUGACGGAGGUGCGCGCACACGGAUUAUUGUGGCGAGGCCCUGACGGAGGUGCGCGCACACGGAUUAUUGUGGCGAGGCCCUGACGGAGGUGCGCACACACAGAUUAUUGUGGCGAGGCCCUGACGGAGGUGCGCACACACAGAUUAUUGUGGCGAG